rnacentral:rRNA from 1 species
AGUGAACGCUGGCGGUAGGCCUAACACAUGCAAGUCGAACGGCGGCACAGUAAGAGCUUGCUCUUACGGGUGGCGAGUGGCGGGCGGGUGAGGAAUACAUCGGAAUCUACUUUUUCGUGGGGGGAUAACGUAGGGAAACUUACGCUAAUACCGCAUACGACCUACGGGUGAAAGCAGGGGAUCUUCGGACCUUGCGCGAU